GGAUAGAAAGCUGUAAUAAAGCGUUGAAAAUGCGACUGGAAAUCGUGUGUACCCCCAAAAGGGGUACCGAGGGUUCAAAUCCCUCUCUCUCCGCCA
rnacentral:tRNA from 1 species